rnacentral:rRNA from 1 species
GGGGACCCGCACAAGCAGCGGAGCAUGUGGUUUAAUUCGAAGCAACGCGAAGAACCUUACCUGGACUUGACAUCCUUCAGACCACUCCUUAACCGGAGUCUUCCCUUCGGGGACUGAAGUGACAGGUGGUGCAUGGUUGUCGUCAGCUCGUGUCGUGAGAUGUUGGGUUAAGUCCCGCAACGAGCGCAACCCUUGUCUUUAGUUGCCAGCAAGUAAUGUUGGGCACUCUAGAGAGACUGCCGGGGAUAACUCGGAGGAAGGUGGGGAUGACGUCAAAUCAUCAUGCCCCUUAUGUUCAGGGCUACACACGUGCUACAAUGGCCGAUACAAAGGGCUGCGAAGGAGUAAUCUGGAGCCAAUCCCAGAAAGUCGGUCCCAGUUCGGAUUGUGGGCUGAAACUCGCCCACAUGAAGUUGGAGUUGCUAGUAAUCGCGAAUCAGAAUGUCGCGGUGAAUGCGUUCCCGGGUCUUGUACACACCGCCCGUCACACCAUGGGAGUCGGAAGCACCCGAAGCCAGCUAUCUAACCUUUUAGGAGGAAGCUGUCGAAGGUGAAGUCGAUGACUGGGGUGAAGUCGUAACAAGGUAACCGUAAGGGC